GAUGAACGCUGGCGGCGUGCCUAAUACAUGCAAGUCGAGCGAACAGACGAGGAGCUUGCUCCUCUGACGUUAGCGGCGGACGGGUGAGUAACAAGUGGCUAACCUUCCUAUAUGACUGGGAUAACUUCGGGAAACCGGAGCUAAUACCGGAUAAUAUAUCGAACCGCAUGGUUCAAUAGUGGAAGACGGUUUUGCUGUCACUUAUAGAUGGAUCCGCGCCUCAUGAGCUAGUUGGUAAGGUACCGGCUUACCAAGGCAAUGAUGCGUAGCCGAGGUGAGAGCGUGAUCGGCCACACUGGAACUGAGACACGGUCCAGACUCCUACGGGAGGCAGCAGUAGGGAAUCUUGCGCAAUGGGCGAAAGCCUGACGGAGCAACGCCGCGUGAGUGAUGAAGGUCUUCGGAUCGUAAAACUCUGUUAUUAGGGAAGAACAAAUGUAUAAGUAAAUAUGCACGUAUUGACGGUACCUAAACAGAAAGCCACGGCUAACUACGUG
rnacentral:rRNA from 1 species